CAAGAGCGUAUAUUAAAGUUGCUGCGGUUAAAAAGCUCGUAGUUGGAUUUCAGUCUAGGAAGGUUAACUCGCCGAAAGGUUGUACGUUGAUUUUCCUCAGACUUCGUCAGAAGCUCGUGCUGCACUUAACUGUGUGGUACGAUGUUCUGACCUUUUACCUUGAGGAAAGUAGAGUGUUUCAGGCAGGCUACCCAGCUUGAAUACAUUAGCAUGGAAUAAUGAAAUGGAUCUCGGUUCGAUUUCGUUGGUUCUAGAGCUGAGGUGAUGAUCAAUAGGAACAGGCGAAGGUAUUCGUACUUGAGAGUGAGGAGUGAAAUCCGAUGAUCUCUUAAAGACGAUCCGAGGCGAAAGCAUUUGCCAAGGAUGUUUUCAUUGA
rnacentral:rRNA from 1 species